GGCAUGAGCUGACCCACCUCACUGAUGGAUUGCUGAUUUUAGCAUUUUAACCCUCUUUCUGAGC
rnacentral:snoRNA from 1 species